GACGAACGCUGGCGGCGUGCUUAACACAUGCAAGUCGAGCGGUAAGGCCCUUUCGGGGGUACGACGAGCGGCGAACGGGUGAGUAACACGUGGGUGACCUGCCCUCAGCUCUGGGAUAAGCCUGGGAAACUGGGUCUAAUACCGGAUAUGACUCCAUGACGCAUGUUGUGGGGUGGAAAGCCUUGUGCGGCUGAGGAUGGGCCCGCGGCCUAUCAGCUUGUUGGUGGGGGUGA
rnacentral:rRNA from 1 species